AGCCCAUAAAAGGGGUUGGUCGAUACAGACAGCAGGACGGUGGCCAUGGAAGUCGGAAUCCGCCAAGGAGUGUGUAACAACUCACCUGCCGAAUCGACUAGCCCUGAAAAUGGAUGGCGCUGAGCGUGCCGCCCAUACCCGGCCGUCGGGGCAGAGANCGGUGGACCGGCCCCCGGGUGGUAGGCCCGACGAGUAGAGGCCNCCGCGGUGCGCGUUAAGCGCCGGCCGCUGAGCCGCGUGGACCGCCGCGGGCGCAGAUCUUGGUGGUAGUAGCAAAUAUUCGAGUGAGAUCCUCGAGGACCGAGUGGCGGAGAAGGGUUCCAUGUGAACAGCAGUUGUACAUGGGUCAGUCGAUCCUAAGCCCCAGGGAAACUCCGCUCCGAGCGGAGGCGGGCGCCCCUCUCCUCGUCGAGUUUGGGGGCCUCGCUCCCCGGGCGAAAGGGAAUCGGGUCAAUAUUCCCGAACCCGAAGGCGGAGUCCUCCGUCCACGAUUCCGACUUCGCGUCGGGUCGCGGCGGUCCGAGCUGCAAAGCGAGCGAGCCCGCAGACGCCGGCCGGGGCCCCGGGAAGAGUUUUCUUUUCUUGGUAAGGGGCGGGAUCCCUGGAAUCGGCUUGUCCGGAGCUAGGGGCUGCGGCCCCGUAGAGCGCCGCGUCUCCGGCGGCGUCCGGCGAGCUCCGGCCGGCCCUUGAAAAUGCGGGGGUGUGCGUGGACCGUCGCCUCGGGUCGUACCGAUAACCGCAGCCGGUCUCCAACCUA
rnacentral:rRNA from 1 species